GUAUGGCUGUUCGCCAUUUAAAGAGGUACGUGAGCUGGGUUUAGAACGUCGUGAGACAGUUCGGUCCCUAUCUGCCGUGGGUGUAGGACAAUUGAGAGGAGCUGCCCCUAGUACGAGAGGACCGGGGUGGACGCACCUCUGGUGUACCGGUUGUUGCGCCAGCAGCACCGCCGGGUAGCUAAGUGCGGACGGGAUAACCGCUGAAGGCAUCUAAGCGGGAAGCCUCCCUCAAAACAAGUUGUCCCCAUUAGAGUCGUGGAAGACCACCACGUUGAUAGGCCAGGUGUGGAAGCGCAGUAAUGUGUGAAGCUAACUGGUACUAAUCACUCGAUUGGCUUGAUUACCACUGUC
rnacentral:rRNA from 1 species